rnacentral:tRNA from 3 species
GGGCCUAUAGCUCAGCUGGUUAGAGCGCACGCCUGAUAAGCGUGAGGUCGAUGGUUCGAGUCCAUUUAGGCCCAU